rnacentral:misc_RNA from 1 species
UUUUUUUUUUUUUUUUAACAUAGAUGGUCGCCUCUGUUGCAUUGGCAUUGGUUGUUGACCUAUAAUGGAGGUCUUCAAAAAUGUUGGAUCAUGGAUCACGUGUUGAUGUCAUAACUAGAGUCUGUUUUUCGUUGAAUCCAGAAAGGCCUGUGACUCUUUGAGUGUGUGCCAUAUCAGCUUCGGGUUGGAAGCCACUGGCUACCAUAACUCUUAGCUUUUUUCGCAAAACUUUGUUCAUGACAUUAGCUACUGCUUUUAUAUUUGAACUUGAAAAUGAACACAAAAAAAAUGAUGUAGUUUUAAUUUCUAUAUCCUUAUUUCUGUUAUCUUCUUCUUCCUCCUUUUUCCCUAUUUUGCUAGCUUGUUAUUGCCACUGAUUCUAUGAUCUGACUGCAAUGCUUUCUGGGUCAAACUUUUACUGCUGUUCUAGUUACUUUUGUUACGGAAAAUAUUCCAAACAAGUUUCUUAAUUCUAUGAUUUAUUUUAACUUUUAAAAUGAUAAUAUAUACUUCAACUUCUAAUCCUCCUGGUAUGUUUCCUUGUGUUUGAUUUUUUAUUAGCAGUCUUUUUUAUGUCCGAGGAUCUCCACAUUUGUUUUCUAUUUCUCAGUACAGCUGAUAGAGGAGAGUAAAGCUAGUUUUGAGUCAGUGUAAAAUUGGAAUUCAAACUAACAAUUGAGAUUAAACUACUGCAUGAAGUUACGAGGUGGUCAUCCAUAUUGGUAAAUCAGGGUGUUUUAUGUUGUUGGAUACUUGGAUACUAAUCCUGAAGUGGUGGAGUGUAUUUGUCCAACUUGCGCUUUCUUGUCAUUAUGUUUAUAAGCUCAUUAAAUGUGAGUCGGUUGUUAUUUCUGUUGUAUUGUGGAAUCCGUAUAAAAAUGAAUUUGAUUAUGUGGGUUGAGCAUAUUGUUGCCCAAAGUUGAUUUGAGGAAAAUGAUGACUUUCCAUUUUGUCACUCUUCUAUAUGUUGAAUAGUAUUAUAAAUGAAAAGGAAAAAUGAAUCAGAGUGGAAUGCAAUAAAUAUAAAUCUCCACUAUAUAAUUAUUGAUGGCACUGUAUUGUAGAUAUUGUGUUGUCUUUUGCCUAACCCUUGGAAAUAUCUCUUGUAUUUUUCACUGCAUGAAAAAGGACCUUCUUGCUUCAUUUAUAUGGUUAGCUGAUAUAUAUUGAUUACUUCUUCUGUUCUUCAAUAUCUGAAUCAGGUCGUCAUGAACUUUUGGAGAGG